AGAGAGAAAAAAAAUGGUGAUAUUACAAUUUCAAACUUCAAUCAUAAACUCAUCCAAGGAAUACAAGGAAUCAAAAGAAGAAACAAUACAAGUGAUAUAAAGAAGCAAAUGAACGCGUAACGAAUCUCCUCCUCCUCGUCUCGCGACACUUCGCGAUCGUCUGACAACAAACUGUGUAAUACCUUGAAGGCGUUGCGUUGGAAUUUAUUCAUUUUGGCGGCGGCUUCUCUUUCAAGUUAACGAGACCGACUACAUUCAACGUUAUCUAGUACGAUAUAUAACCAAAAGGAAUCACAGGGUAUACACAGAUACAUCUGUAAGUACAUACCUCGAGUUUGUUGGUGAUGACGCAAAGAGAACGAGGAAAUUAGACGACUGGUCAAGAGAACGAAUACGAAUAGUUUUAUAAAUCAAGAGGAAACAAUGAACGGCGGGUGAGUACUUGACAAAAGCAUUUAUUUAGCAUGUAUAACUUUUAUGACGAUGAUUAUUAUUAUUAUUGUUAUUAUAAUUAUUAAUCCAAAAAACAAAAACAAAAAAGAAUAGAAGGAAAAAAAUAUUUAUAUACUUAAUUUUUCGAGAUCUUGCAACAGUGACUUAAACUUUAUUUAUUUUAUUUAUUUUUUAUUUUUUUUUUAUUUUUUUAUAUAUAUAUAUAUAUAUUUCUUUUUGCUUGGUUUCUUCUUCGAACUUGAAGAUUCAUUAUUAUGAGUCUCUCUUUUUUUUUUUCUUUUCUUUUUUUGCUGCGAUUGGUAAACAAUGGUAAUUAAUUAAUUUACAAAAAAAAUAAUAUAGUAGUAAAGAAUUAUGUGUGUAUAUAUAUAUACAGGAGAAUACUAUGUGGUAAUAGGAUUUUUUCUUUUCUUUUCUUUUUUUUUUUUUUUUUUUUU